GCGGCCACUGCUAUCAAGUUCCGACUAAGCCAUGCGAGUCAAGGUAUCGUAAGAUGCCGGCAAACUGCUCAGUAACACGUGGAUAAUCUAACCUUGAGUAAGGGAUAACUUCGGGAAACUGAAGGUAAUACCUUAUAAUUGCUUAAAACUGGAAUGUUUUUGCAAUAAAAGUUACGACGCUCAAGGAUGAGUCUGCGACCUAUCAGGUAGUAGGUGGUGUAAUGGACCACCUAGCCUCAGACGGGUACGGGCCCUGGGAGGGGUAGCCCGGAGAUGGACUCUGAGACAUAAGUCCAGGCCCUACGGGGCGCAGCAGGCGCGAACACUGUGCAAUGCGCGAAAGCGCGACACGGGGAGCUUGAGUGUCUUGGCAUAGCCAAGACUUUUCUCAUUCCUAAAAAGCUCAAGGAAUAAGAGCUGGGUAAGACGGGUGCCAGCCGCCGCGGUAACACCCGCGGCUCGAGUGGUAGUCACUUUUAUUGAGCCUAAAGCGUUUGUAGCCGGAUUUGUAAAUCUCUAGGAAAAUACUUCUGCUUAACUGAAGAAAUUUUGGAGAGACUGCAAAUCUAGGGACCGGGUGAGGUUGAAUGUACUUCUGGGGUAGGGGUAAAAUCCUGUAAUCCUGGAAGGACGACCGGUGGCGAAGGCGUUCAACUAGAACGGAUCCGACGGUGAGGAACGAAGGCUAGGGGAGCAAACCGGAUUAGAUACCCGGGUAGUCCUAGCUGUAAACACUGCCCACUUGGUGUUGCAUCUCCGGUAAGGGGGUGCAGUGCCGUAGCGAAGGUGUUAAGUGGGCCGCUUGGGGAGUAUGGUCGCAAGGCUGAAACUUAA
rnacentral:rRNA from 1 species